GGAGGUAUCUGGGAGAAGGUUUUCCGUCCUGCCUUUAGGCGUCAGUAAACACAACUCUGCUCGAGUCGGGUGUCGAACACGUAGCCCACUCCAUAUGUAGCCAAGUCAAGCCAAGUUCAAGCGUACUAAGCUUCUUGACCACGCCUCCCACAAGAAUACAAUAAACCAAAAAUGUACCCUUUCUCACACAAACGUAUAAACUGUCCUGAUAGGAUCAACGUACAAUGUUUUAUUCCCCCCCCCCCCCCCCCC